GGGGGCGUCUUGGUUUCGACGGGUUUAUUCGAGCUUUUAGCUGCAUGUGGAGGAUUUCUGGUUUAACCUCCUUAAUCAUCCGGGAAACAACCUUAAAUGCCGAUUACGGCUACGCUGCUGCCGCUUAAUUGACGGUAGCUAUCUCUUAACGGGCGCGUUUACCGCCUGUUUCUGAGAUAUCAUUAAAAGUAAACUGCUCCAACUCUGCGCCUGGUAGUGUUGGUCAAGAACCCUUAGGGGUACAGGCUGGUCUGAUGUGACUGGGGCUGUUCACAAUCAUUAGAUAAGACCUUGAACACAGCCUAAACAUGUAGACGCUGACUGAACGAUUUAUUCGGACGGGAGUUCAACUCUCCCCGCCUCCACAA
rnacentral:tmRNA from 1 species